UCGGGAAUAUUGCGCAAUGGACGAAAGUCUGACGCAGCAACACCGCGUGAAGGAUGAAUGCCUUCGGGUUGUAAACUUCAAUAGUUAGGGAUGAAAUCUUGACAGUACCUAACGAAAGCACCGGCUAACUACGUGCCAGCAGCCGCGGUAAUACGUAGGGUGCAAGCGUUAUCCGGAUUUAUUGGGCGUAAAGAGCGCGUAGGUGGCUUAAUAAGUCUUUGUUAAAAGGCUAUCGCUCAACGGUAGUUUUGACAAAGAGACUGUUUUGCUAGAAAAAACUAGAGGCAAGCGGAACUUGCGGUGGAGGAGUAAAAUCCAUUGAUCUCGCAAGGAACACCGAUGGCGAAGGCAGCUUGCUGGGGUUUUUUGACACUGAGGCGCGAAAGCGUGGGUAGCGAACGGG
rnacentral:rRNA from 1 species